rnacentral:ribozyme from 1 species
AGCUGACUCGGCAGCUAUAAACAGCCAUUAAGCCGAGAGCGUUUGGCAGUCUGAAAUAAGGUUGCCAAGGUUGGA